rnacentral:rRNA from 1 species
AGAGUUUGAUCAUGGCUCAGAACGAACGCUGGCGGCAGGCUUAACACAUGCAAGUCGAACGGUCUCUUCGGAGGCAGUGGCAGACGGGUGAGUAACGCGUGGGAAUCUACCUUUUGCUACGGAACAACAGUUGGAAACGACUGCUAAUACCGUAUGUGUCCUUCGGGAGAAAGAUUUAUCGGCAAAGGAUGAGCCCGCGUUGGAUUAGCUAGUUGGUAGGGUAAAGGCCUACCAAGGCGACGAUCCAUAGCUGGUCUGAGAGGAUGAUCAGCCACACUGGGACUGAGACACGGCCCAGACUCCUACGGGAGGCAGCAGUGGGGAAUAUUGGACAAUGGGCGCAAGCCUGAUCCAGCCAUGCCGCGUGAGUGAUGAAGGCCCUAGGGUUGUAAAGCUCUUUCACCGGUGAAGAUAAUGACGGUAACCGGAGAAGAAGCCCCGGCUAACUUCGUGCCAGCAGCCGCGGUAAUAC